rnacentral:lncRNA from 1 species
GAACUGUGAAGUACUUGGAAUUACAAUCGCAGAGCCCAGGGGCUGGCAGAGUGCUAUUCCCAACUCAAGAGGGUCAAGGACCCAGACACUAGAACAAGCAGACAAGAUAAUACUUGCUAGCCAUCAAAUUCCCACGAGUCAUCAAGAGGAAUAAGGGCAGAACAGAAAGUAGAGAUUCAAGGACUUCUACCGAGGAAUUGGAGAUUUGGGCGAUGGAAUGGGAAAGAAGGUCAACAUCACAACGUGAUGUCCCAGCAUCACAAGAGACAACUGGUGUGAGAUAUGGGAAGACGGAAAUUUCAGUGAUGAUGGAAUCUUCCACUCCACUGGGUACCACACGUGCAUUUCCAUGAGUUUCAACUGCUUCGUUCCUCCAACUAGAAACUUCCAAGUCAUCUGAGGAAUGGCCUCCAGGAAUGCUUCUGCUAUCCUCUGUGCCGGCAUUCACUGUGACACUCAAGUUCAGGGUGAGAGGUCAUGAGGUCAUCACACCAGAAAUAUGCGGCUAGUGGAAGAGCACAGGGGUUUGAAACAUGGAGCCAGAAGCUGGUCUGUGGAAAAUUCUUACAAAUCUGUACUUCAUGGAAGAAAGAAAUCUGAGAAAAGCUUUCCCAAAUUUGACAACAAUUCUAAAAAUGUAC